rnacentral:tRNA from 1 species
GGGCCCUUAGCUCAGUGGUUAGAGCAACGGACUCAUAAUCCGUCGGUCGAAGGUUCAAAUCCUUCAGGGCCCACCA